GCGUCUGCCGUGAAAGUCCGGGGCUUAACUCCGGAUCUGCGGUGGGUACGGGCAGACUAGAGUGCAGUAGGGGAGACUGGAAUUCCUGGUGUAGCGGUGAAAUGCGCAGAUAUCAGGAGGAACACCGAUGGCGAAGGCAGGUCUCUGGGCUGUAACUGACGCUGAGGAGCGAAAGCAUGGGGAGCGAACAGGAUUAGAUACCCUGGUAGUCCAUGCCGUAAACGUUGGGCACUAGGUGUGGGGGACAUUCCACGUUUUCCGCGCCGUAGCUAACGCAUUAAGUGCCCCGCCUGGGGAGUACGGCCGCAAGGCUAAAACUCAAAGGAAUUGACGGGGGCCCGCACAAGCGGCGGAGCAUGCGGAUUAAUUCGAUGCAACGCGAAGAACCUUACCAAGGCUUGACAUGAACCGGAAUGAUGCAGAGAUGUGUCAGCCACUUGUGGCCGGUUUACAGGUGGUGCAUGGUUGUCGUCAGCUCGUGUCGUGAGAUGUUGGGUUAAGUCCCGCAACGAGCGCAACCCUCGUUCCAUGUUGCCAGCGGGUUAUGCCGGGGACUCAUGGGAGACUGCCGGGGUCAACUCGGAGGAAGGUGGGGACGACGUCAAAUCAUCAUGCCCCUUAUGUCUUGGGCUUCACGCAUGCUACAAUGGCCGGUACAAAGGGUUGCGAUACUGUGAGGUGGAGCUAAUCCCAAAAAGCCGGUCUCAGUUCGGAUUGAGGUCUGCAACUCGACCUCAUGAAGUUGGAGUCGCUAGUAAUCGCAGAUCAGCAACGCUGCGGUGAAUACGUUCCCGGGCCUUGUACACACCGCCCGUCAAGUCACGAAAGUUGGUAACACCCGAAGCCGGUGGCCUAACCCCUUGUGGGAGGGAGCCGUCGAAGGUGGGACCGGCGAUUGGGACU
rnacentral:rRNA from 1 species